UACGUAGGGUGCAAGCGUUGUCCGGAUUCAUUGGGCGUAAAGAGCUCGUAGGCGGCCACUCAAGUCGAAUGUGAAACCUCGAGGCUUAACCUCGAGCCUGCAUUCGAUACUGGGCGGCUAGAGUCUGGUAGGGGGAUCUGGAAUUCCUGGUGUAGCGGUGGAAUGCGCAGAUAUCAGGAGGAACACCGGUGGCGAAGGCGGGAUCCUGGGCCAGUACUGACGCUGAGGCGCGAAAGCUAGGGGAGCAAACAGG
rnacentral:rRNA from 1 species